AGAAGAGACUGUAGGAUCAAAUCCUGGCUAAGUUCACCAUCCAUGGCAAAAUCCAAUUAUCCCAAAUGAGUGAUCAAAUCAAUCAUCUUCAGGACAUGUGUUUCCACAGAGGUGCCUUCAAUCUUGCGGGUACAUAACAACUACUUAGAUAUUUUAUAUCUAGCAGUUUGACUUUGUUCCCUAUAUAACUCCUUAAGAUUAAGGAGUAUAGAGGGAACAUCAAUGUCCUCAUGCUGUCUCUGAAGCUCGUUGCUCAUCAAGGUAAGCAUGAUGCAUUUGACAGUCACACUGUCAUCUUUCUACAUCUUAUAUGUAGCCUUUUCUUCUUCAGAAGCAUCUUCUCCGAUCGUAUCGGGUGCAGGUGUAUCCAGUACA
rnacentral:lncRNA from 1 species